UGCCAGCAGCCGCGGUAACACGUAGGAGGCAAGCGUUAUCCGGAUUUACUGGGCGUAAAGCGCGUGCAGGUGGUUUAGUAAGUUGGAUGUGAAAUCUCCCGGCUCAACUGGGAGAGGUCGUUCAAAACUGCUAGGCUAGAGGACGGUAGAGGAAAGUGGAAUUCCCGGUGUAGUGGUGAAAUGCGUAGAUAUCGGGAGGAACACCAGUGGCGAAAGCGACUUUCUGGCCCGUUCCUGACACUAAGACGCGAAAGCUAGGGUAGCAAACGGGAUUAGAUA
rnacentral:rRNA from 1 species